AUUGAACGCUGGCGGCAGGCCUAACACAUGCAAGUCGAGCGGCAGCGGAAAGUAGCUUGCUACUUUGCCGGCGAGCGGCGGACGGGUGAGUAAUGUCUGGGAAACUGCCUGAUGGAGGGGGAUAACUACUGGAAACGGUAGCUAAUACCGCAUGACCUCGAAAGAGCAAAGUGGGGGAUCUUCGGACCUCACGCCAUCGGAUGUGCCCAGAUGGGAUUAGCUAGUAGGUGAGGUAAUGGCUCACCUAGGCGACGAUCCCUAGCUGGUCUGAGAGGAUGACCAGCCACACUGGAACUGAGACACGGUCCAGACUCCUACGGGAGGCAGCAGUGGGGAAUAUUGCACAAUGGGCGCAAGCCUGAUGCAGCCAUGCCGCGUGUGUGAAGAAGGCCUUAGGGUUGUAAAGCACUUUCAGCGAGGAGGAAGGCAUCAUACUUAAUACGUGUGGUGAUUGACGUUACUCGCAGAAGAAGCACCGGCUAACUCCGUGCCAGCAGCCGCGGCAAUACGGAGGGUGCAAGCGUUAAUCGGAAUUACUGGGCGUAAAGCGCACGCAGGCGGUUUGUUAAGUCAGAUGUGAAAUCCCCGCGCUUAACGUGGGAACUGCAUUUGAAACUGGCAAGCUAGAGUCUUGUAGAGGGGGGUAGAAUUCCAGGUGUAGCGGUGAAAUGCGUAGAGAUCUGGAGGAAUACCGGUGGCGAAGGCGGCCCCCUGGACAAAGACUGACGCUCAAUGCGAAAGCGUGGGGAGCAAACAGG
rnacentral:rRNA from 1 species